rnacentral:lncRNA from 1 species
GAUAUUAUUGAUGAUGAUUAUGGGCCAGGGCCUGGACCAGGGCCAGGGCCAGGGACCCUAAUGAAUUCAGAGGCUAAUGGAAGUUCUUGGGUGACUCCGACAACCGUUCGACAGCUGAGUGCCGCGCUGAGUGGUUGCGUCUAGCUUCCAUCUUUCCAUCUCAAUAUCUAUCUGGCAUUCCUUCAAGGGUUUAAUUACACUUUGACUCGGGCAAAAUUGACUUCCUCGGACGUGGCAAACUUUAUUGUCUUCUUCUGGAACUUCCUCGAACUGCCUUGCCGAGGAAAUCGCUUAAUAUGUAUUAACAUUUAUUGCUUCGGCAAAGCUGCUGGGCGUGGGUGUGCUGGCAAAGAACAAAGAAAGAAAAAACGAUGCCAAGGCAAUGGUAGACCGGAAAUUGCCAAAUACUGAUACAUCCGCCGGAAAUAGGUUCAAUUCUUGUGUUGUGCUCCAGCAGCAGGAACAUGGCAGGCACACAAGACUCAAGACACUCAAGCCUGCCCACCAAGUAAAUUAAGUUAAAGUUCCCUUAUCGGCGCCUCCCCCUGAAGGACAUUGAACGGCUGACGGGCGCCUCGCCAGCUAUCACCAGAAACACAUUUCACACCAGUCGUUUAGGCAGCUUAAUUGCUCGCCCGAACUUCACAGCACUUUGCACAAUAAACAGAUCAUAAUCUGUCGGCUAAAACUAUCAAUUUCCAGGCAGCCAAACAAGGGAUACACAGCCUGCU